rnacentral:rRNA from 1 species
UACAGAGGGUGCAAGCGUUAAUCGGAAUUACUGGGCGUAAAGCGUGCGUAGGCGGAUAAUUAAGUCAGAUGUGAAAGCCCCGGGCUCAACCUGGGAAUUGCAUCUGAAACUGGUUAUCUAGAGUAUGGUAGAGGAUAGUGGAAUUUCAGGUGUAGCGGUGAAAUGCGUAGAUAUCUGAAGGAACACCAGUGGCGAAGGCGACUAUCUGGGCCAAUACUGACGCUGAGGUACGAAAGCAUGGGUAGCAAACAGG